UACGGAGGGUGCGAGCGUUGUUCGGAAUCACUGGGCGUAAAGCGCGUGUAGGCGGCCCUUUAAGUCCGAUGUGAAAGCCCGGGGCUCACCCCCGGAAGUGCAUUGGAUACUGAAGGGCUGGAGUACCGGAGAGGAGGGUGGAAUUCCUGGUGUAGCGGUGAAAUGCGUAGAUAUCAGGAGGAACACCUGUGGCGAAGGCGGCCCUCUGGACGGAUACUGACGCUGAGACGCGAAAGCGUGGGGAGCAAACAGG
rnacentral:rRNA from 1 species